AACGAACGCUGGCGGCAGGCUUAAGACAUGCAAGUCGAACGCCCACUUCGGUGGGAGUGGCAGACGGGUGAGUAACGCGUGGGAACCUACCUUUAGGUACGGAAUAACAGUUAGAAAUGACUGCUAAUACCGUAUGUGCCCGAGAGGGGAAAGAUUUAUCGCCUUUAGAUGGGCCCGCGUUGGAUUAGCUAGUUGGUGGGGUAAAGGCCUACCAAGGCGACGAUCCAUAGCUGGUCUGAGAGGAUGAUCAGCCACACUGGGACUGAGACACGGCCCAGACUCCUACGGGAGGCAGCAGUGGGGAAUAUUGGACAAUGGGGGCAACCCUGAUCCAGCCAUGCCGCGUGAGUGAUGAAGGCCCUAGGGUUGUAAAGCUAC
rnacentral:rRNA from 1 species